UCCCUGGUGGUGUAGUGGCUAAGGAUCCUGUGCUCUCACCCCUGCAGCCUGGGUUCAAUUCCCAGGCAGGGAA